rnacentral:rRNA from 1 species
UACGUAGGGGGCUAGCGUUGUUCGGAAUUACUGGGCGUAAAGAGCUCGUAGGCGGUCUGUCACGUCGGCUGUGAAAACCCGAGGCUCAACCUCGGGCCUGCAGUCGAUACGGGCAAACUAGAGUGUUGCAGGGGAGACUGGAAUUCCUGGUGUAGCGGUGAAAUGCGCAGAUAUCAGGAGGGAACACCCGGUGGGCGAAAGGGCGGGGUC